UAAGGAAUAUUGGACAACGGAGGCAACUCUGAUCCAGCCAUGCCGCGUGAAGGAAUAAGGCCCUAUGGGUUGUAAACUUCUUUUAGACGGGACAAAACCCCUUUACGUGUAAAGGGUUGAUGGUACUGUCAGAAUAAGCAUCGGCUAACUUCGUGCCAGCAGCCGCGGUAAUACGAAGGAUGCAAGCGUUAUCCGGAAUUAUUGGGUUUAAAGGGUACGUAGGCGGACUAAUAAGUCAGUGGUGAAAGCCUGCAGCUUAACUGCAGAAUUGCCAUUGAUACUGCUAGUCUUGAGUACAGUUGAGGUCGGCGGAAUGUGUCAUGGAGCGGUGAAAUGCUUAGAUAUGACACAGAACACCGAUUGCGAAGGCAGCUUGCUAAGCUGUAACUGACGCUGAGGCACGAAAGCGUGGGGAGCAAACA
rnacentral:rRNA from 1 species